rnacentral:rRNA from 1 species
AGCGAACGCUGGCGGCAGGCCUAACACAUGCAAGUCGAACGAACCUUUCGGGGUUAGUGGCGGACGGGUGAGUAACACGUGGGAACGUGCCUUUAGGUUCGGAAUAACUCAGGGAAACUUGUGCUAAUACCGAAUGUGCCCUUCGGGGGAAAGAUUAAUCGCCUUUAGAGCGGCCCGCGUCUGAUUAGCUAGUUGGUUGAGGUAAUGGCUCACCAAGGCGACGAUCAGUAGCUGGUCUGAGAGGAUGAUCAGCCACAUUGGGACUGAGACACGGCCCAAACUCCUACGGGAGGCAGCAGUGGGGAAUCUUGCGCAAUGGGCGAAAACCUGACGCAGCCAUGCCGCGUGAAUGAUGAAGGUCUUAGGAUUGUAAAAUUCUUUCACCGGGGACGAUAAUGACGGUACCCGGAGAAGAAGCCCCGGCUAACUUCGU